rnacentral:rRNA from 1 species
GAUGAACGCUGGCGGCGUGCCUAAUACAUGCAAGUCGAGCGAACGGACGAGAAGCUUGCUUUCUGAUGUUAGCGGCGGACGGGUGAGUAACACGUGGAUAACCUACCUAUAAGACUGGGAUAACUUCGGGAAACCGGAGCUAAUACCGGAUAAUAUUUUGAACCGCAUGGUUCAAAAGUGAAAGACGGUCUUGCUGUCACUUAUAGAUGGAUCCGCGCCGCAUUAGCUAGUUGGUAAGGUAACGGCUUACCAAGGCAACGAUGCAUAGCCGACCUGAGAGGGUGAUCGGCCACACUGGAACUGAGACACGGUCCAGACUCCAACGGGAGGCAGCAGUAGGGAAUCUUCCGCAAUGGGCGAAAGCCUGACGGAGCAACGCCGCGUGAGUGAUGAAGGUCUUCGGAUCGUAAAACUCUGUUAUUAGGGAAGAACAUAUGUGUAAGUAACUGUGCACAUCUUGACGGUACCUAAUCAGAAAGCCACGGCUAACUACGUG